AGCGGCGGAUGGGUGAGUAACACGUGGGGAACCUGCCCCUAAGUCUGGGAUACCAUUUGGAAACAGGUGCUAAUACCGGAUAAUAAAGCAGAUCGCAUGAUCAGCUUUUUGAAAAGGCGGCGUAAGCUGUCGCUAAGGGGAUGGCCCCGCGGUGCAUUAGCUAGUUGGUAAGGUAACGGCUUACCAAGGCGACGAUGCAUAGCCGAGUUGAGAGACUGAUCGGCCACAAUGGAACUGAGACACGGUCCAUACUCC
rnacentral:rRNA from 1 species